rnacentral:rRNA from 1 species
UACGUAGGGUGCAAGCGUUGUCCGGAAUUAUUGGGCGUAAAGAGCUCGUAGGCGGUUUGUUGCGUCGGCUGUGAAAUCCCGAGGCUCAACCUCGGGUCUGCAGUCGAUACGAGCAAACUAGAGUGUUGCAGGGGAGACUGGAAUUCCUGGUGUAGCGGUGAAAUGCGCAGAUAUCAGGAGGAACACCUGCGGCGAAGGCGGGUUGCUGGGCCGACACUGACGCUGAGGCGCGAAAGCCAGGGGAGCGAACGGG